rnacentral:rRNA from 1 species
CCUACGGGGGGCAGCAGUGAGGAAUAUUGGUCAAUGGACGAGAGUCUGAACCAGCCAAGUAGCGUGAAGGAUGACUGCCCUAUGGGUUGUAAACUUCUUUUAUAUGGGAAUAAAAUGUUCCAUGUGUGGGAUUUUGUAUGUACCAUAUGAAUAAGGAUCGGCUAACUCCGUGCCAGCAGCCGCGGUAAUACGGAGGAUUCGAGCGUUAUCCGGAUUUAUUGGGUUUAAAGGGAGCGUAGGUGGAUUGUUAAGUCAGUUGUGAAAGUUUGCGGCUCAACCGUAAAAUUGCAGUUGAAACUGGCAGUCUUGAGUACAGUAGAGGUGGGCGGAAUUCGUGGUGUAGCGGUGAAAUGCUUAGAUAUCACGAAGAACUCCGAUUGCGAAGGCAGUUCACUGGACUGCAACUGACACUGAGGCUCGAAAGUGUGGGUAUCAAACAGGAUUAGAUACCCUUGUAGUC